rnacentral:rRNA from 1 species
GAUGAACGCUGGCGGCGUGCUUAACACAUGCAAGUCGAACGAUGAAGCCCAGCUUGCUGGGUGGAUUAGUGGCGAACGGGUGAGUAACACGUGAGUAACCUGCCCUUGACUCUGGGAUAAGCCCGGGAAACUGGGUCUAAUACAGGAUAGGAGCGCCUGUCGCAUGACGGGUGUUGGAAAGAUUUUUCGGUCAUGGAUGGACUCGCGGCCUAUCAGCUUGUUGGUGGGGUAAUGGCUCACCAAGGCGACGACGGGUAGCCGGCCUGAGAGGGUGACCGGCCACACUGGGACUGAGACACGGCCCAGACUCCUACGGGAGGCAGCAGUGGGGAAUAUUGCACAAUGGGCGGAAGCCUGAUGCAGCGACGCCGCGUGAGGGAUGACGGCCUUCGGGUUGUAAACCUCUUUCAGUAGGGAAGAAGCGAAAGUGACGGUACCUGCAGAAGAAGCACCGGCUAACUACGUG